AGGCAGAGAGGCAGAGACAGACAGUGACAGGGCAAGCAGUCUGAUAGCUAACUAGCUAGGAGUGAAUGUAAAGGCAGGAACUUGGGAUGCACUGUUGGUUUUGUUGGUGGCUGUUAUUUGCUUGACAAAGUUGUCCAAAAUGAUAUCCGAUAAUAUUGUGUACUUCCUGCCACUUAAUGCAGACAUGUAUCAGUCCUCACAGUUUUGACCCGUGCGUGUUUCUGGACUCUGUACCUGCCUGCCCUAACCUCGAGCCCGCCUGCCACACUGUACCUACUGGACGCUGAACUGGUUUUGACCUUUUGCCUGUCCACGACCAUUCUCUUGCCGACCCCUUUUUGGAUCAAUAAACAAAGAGAGUCCAACCAUCUGCCUCCUGUGUCUGCAUCUGGGUCUCGCCUUGUGCCCUGAUAGACAAGUAGAGGAUUAUUGGGUUGUUUGCAUCUUAUUUUGAUUUACAGUCUUCGUGCAUGCUAGUCAUGCUUCGCUAAUCGUCUACCAUUGAGUCAAGAUGUACA